UGCAGUCGAGCGGAUGAAGGGAGCUUGCUCCUGGAUUCAGCGGCGGACGGGUGAGUAAUGCCUAGGAAUCUGCCUGGUAGUGGGGGAUAACGUCCGGAAACGGGCGCUAAUACCGCAUACGUCCUGAGGGAGAAAGUGGGGGAUCUUCGGACCUCACGCUAUCAGAUGAGCCUAGGUCGGAUUAGCUAGUUGGUGGGGUAAAGGCCUACCAAGGCGACGAUCCGUAACUGGUCUGAGAGGAUGAUCAGUCACACUGGAACUGAGACACGGUCCAGACUCCUACGGGAGGCAGCAGUGGGGAAUAUUGGACAAUGGGCGAAAGCCUGAUCCAGCCAUGCCGCGUGUGUGAAGAAGGUCUUCGGAUUGUAAAGCACUUUAAGUUGGGAGGAAGGGCAGUAAGUUAAUACCUUGCUGUUUUGACGUUACCAACAGAAUAAGCACCGGCUAACUUCGUGCCAGCAGCCGCGGUAAUACGAAGGGUGCAAGCGUUAAUCGGAAUUACUGGGCGUAAAGCGCGCGUAGGUGGUUCAGCAAGUUGGAUGUGAAAUCCCCGGGCUCAACCUGGGAACUGCAUCCAAAACUACUGAGCUAGAGUACGGUAGAGGGUGGUGGAAUUUCCUGUGUAGCGGUGAAAUGCGUAGAUAUAGGAAGGAACACCAGUGGCGAAGGCGACCACCUGGACUGAUACUGACACUGAGGUGCGAAAGCGUGGGGAGCAAACAGGAUUAGAUACCCUGGUAGUCCACGCCGUAACGAUGUCGACUAGCCGUUGGGAUCCUUGAGAUCUUAGUGGCGCAGCUAACGCGAUAAGUCGACCGCCUGGGGAGUACGGCCGCAAGGUUAAAACUCAAAUGAAUUGACGGGGGCCCGCACAAGCGGUG
rnacentral:rRNA from 1 species